rnacentral:ribozyme from 1 species
GCCGAUGCAGUUCGCUCGGAGAAUUGGGAUCACAUUACGGAGGCAGCAAAGCAGUGGACCGGCUUGGCAAAACUUUCGCGCGGACGUCGCAACACAUCUACGCAACAA